rfam:Ciona savignyi cont_31241, whole genome shotgun sequence.
GUCGUCCUGGCCGAGUGGUUAAGGCGACAGACUUGAAAUCUGUUGGGCACUGCCCGCACAGGUUCGAAUCCUGUCGGCGACG